rnacentral:lncRNA from 1 species
CGUCCGAGCUCCUACGGGAGCCGGACUUCCACCCUGAACUCAUGUUGCAGGUAGACCUCACCCGAACUCCUACAAGGGUCGGACUCCGAGCUUCUACUGCAAACGAUCUACUCCGAGCUUCUGCUACAAAUGAUCUACUUCAAAUUUCUACUACGUGCGGUCUGCGCCGGAUUCCCACUGUAAGCCUUCACCCGAGCUUCCAUUGUGGAUGAAUUCCUUCUGGAUUUCUAUUGCAGGCAGGCUCCGACCGAGAUUCCUCGACAAAUGAUCUCCAUCUGGGCU